rnacentral:rRNA from 1 species
GUCUACGGCCACGCCACCCUGAAUGUGCCUGAUCCCAUCUGAUCUCGGAAGCUGAGCAGGGUCGGGCCUGGUUAGUACUUGAAUGGGAGACCACGUUGAAAUACCAGGUGCUGUAGAUG